rnacentral:rRNA from 1 species
UUCCCCUAGUAACUGCGAGUGAAGCGGGAAAAGCUCAAAUUUAAAAUCUGGUAGUCUUUGUGGCUAUCCKAGUUGUAAUCUAGAGAAGUGUUAUCCGCGCUGGACCGUGUAUAAGUCUCCUGGAAUGSAGCGUCAUAGAGGGUGAGAAUCCCGUCUUUGACACGGACUGCCAGGGCUUUWGUGAUGCACUCUCAAAGAGUCKAGUUGUUUGGGAAUGCAGCUCARAAUGGGUGGUAAAUUCCAUCUAAAGCUAAAUAUUGGCGAGAGACCGAUAGCGAACAAGUACCGUGAGGGAAAGAUGAAAAGAACUUUGGAAAGAGAGUUAAACAGUACGUGAAAUUGCUGAAAGGGAAACGCUUGAAGUCAGUCGCGUUGUCCAGGAAUCAACCUUGCUUUUGCUUGGUGUACUUUCUGGUUGACGGGUCAACAUCAAUUUUAAUCAUUGGAGACAUCUUAAUGGAAUGUAGCAUCUUUGGAUGUGUUAUAGCCUUUAUUUUAUAUACAAUGGUUGGGAUUGAGGAACUCAGCACGCCAUAAGGCCGAGUUUUGUUACAAAACUACGUACGUGCUUAGGAUGUUGGCAUAAUGGCUUUAAUCGACCCGUCUUGAAACACGGACCAAGGAGUCUAACAUAUCUGCAAGUGUUUGGGUGGAAAACCCAAGUGCGUAAUGAAAGUGAAAGUUGAGAUCCCUGUCAUGGGGAGCAUCGACGCCCAGACCAGACCUUCUGUGACGGUWCUGCGGUAGAGCAUGUAUGUUGGGACCCGAAAGAUGGUGAACUAUGCCUGAAUAGGGUGAAGCCAGAGGAAACUCUGGUGGAGGCUCGUAGCGAUUCUGACGUGCAAAUCGAUCGUCAAAUUUGGGUAUAGGGGCGAAAGACYUAAUCGAAMCAUCUAGUAGCUGGUUCCUGCCGAA